rnacentral:tRNA from 1 species
GGGCGCUUAGCUCAGCUGGUCAGAGCGCUUCGUUUACACCGAAGAGGUCGGGGGUUCGAGUCCCUCAGCGCCCACAA